rnacentral:misc_RNA from 1 species
GAUAUUUGGUUAACAUCAACAACUAAUUUAAGACUUUGGGUAUCGUUAACAUGAUCAUUAGCUAAAGAGCGCUUGCCGGGAUUGAUUUCGAAGGUCUUGGUGGUGCUGUGCCGUCGGGAAUGGCGAGAACGGCGGCGUUUAACAGAGAAGGAGUUGUGGGUGAAGAAGUAGCGUGGAGAAGAAGAGUAGGGAAGAGUGUGGAUAGAGUUCAUUGAUUUACAUACCCAAUAAAAGAAAUGGCUUUGCGAUGGCUUAUGUAAAAGAGCUUCUUGUUGCUGAGAGAG